GCUGGAGUGGCUCAGGGGUAGAGCAGCGCACUCGUAAUGCGCAGGUCGUGGGUUCAAAUCCCAUCUCCAGCU
rnacentral:tRNA from 1 species